AGAGACAGAUAAUAUACACAUCAACUUAUGAAUAGUGGGUAAAAGAAAGAACCACUUGGACCACGUAAAACCAAGAAAUUUGAUUCACAGCAGAUAGUUGACAGGAGUUAUACAAUAUAAGCACUCUUAUUCUGCGUCAGUACAUAUACGUACCUUUAUCUCUAACAUCUCCGGAAAAAAAAAUGUAGUGAAUAUCUCGUUUUGUAUGAAGAGCUUGUCACACUGCGGCAUAGGAAGACAUGGCUUUUCUUUCUCUAAGUGAGUAAUUACGAGAAAAAAUAAGGUAUUUGUCAGCGUCUCGAUCAAUCCUCUACUAUAAUUGUUCACUCCCUUGCAUCAUGAACUCAGAAGCACUACGUAGAAGCAUGGUAACGGAAGAAGGGAUGAUAAUAAGAGUUGAUUCACUUUCCAUUCCUUUCCUUGCUACCCUACCAAACACACCAAAGCACCAUAAGAACAUAAAAAAUAUGGAAACCGCAAAAUGCCAAUUGAACUACACAAGGGAGCUCCCACGACACCAUCAACAUAUACAUUAUGUCUUGGUAACUUGUACUAUCCAUAUUAGGACAACACCCCAAUGAUCAAAGAAGACGUAUCAAGGCUUUGUUUGCAUUUAUUAAAUAAAUAGACAGU